AACGAACGCUGGCGGCGUGCCUAACACAUGCAAGUCGUGCGGGAAAGUGGGGGCAACUCCAUGAGUAGAGCGGCGCACGGGUGAGUAACACGUAGGUAACCUGCCUUCGGGACUGGGAUAACCUGUCGAAAGACGGGCUAAUACCAGAUAAGACCACGGGGGCUUCGGCUCCAGGGGCAAAAGGUGGCCUCUGCUUGCAAGCUACCACUCGAAGAUGGGCCUGCGCGCCAUUAGCUUGUUGGUGAGGUAACGGCUCACCAAGGCAAAGAUGGCUAGCUGGUCUGAGAGGAUGGCCAGCCACACUGGGACUGAGACACGGCCCAGACGCCUACGGGAGGCAGCAGUGGGGAAUAUUGCGCAAUGGGCGAAAGCCUGACGCAGCGACGCCGCGUGGGUGAUGAAGGCCUUCGGGUCGUAAAGCCCUGUCGGGAGGGACGAAACCUCGGCGACCUAAUACGUCGUCGACCUGACGGUACCUCCAAAGGAAGCACCGGCUAACUCCGUGCCAGCAGCCGCCGUAAUAC
rnacentral:rRNA from 1 species